GACGAACGCUGGCGGCGUGCUUAACACAUGCAAGUCGAACGGAAAGGCCCUGCUUUUGUGGGGUGCUCGAGUGGCGAACGGGUGAGUAACACGUGAGUAACCUGCCCUUGACUUUGGGAUAACUUCAGGAAACUUGGGCUAAUACCGGAUAGGAGCUCCUGCUGCAUGGUGGGGGUUGGAAAGUUUCGGCGGUUGGGGAUGGACUCGCGGCUUAUCAGCUUGUUGGUGGGGUAGUGGCUUACCAAGGCUUUGACGGGUAGCCGGCCUGAGAGGGUGACCGGCCACAUUGGGACUGAGAUACGGCCCAGACUCCUACGGGAGGCAGCGGUGGGGAAUAUUGCACAAUGGGCGGGAGCCUGAUGCAGCAACGCCGCGUGCGGGAUGACGGCCUUCGCGUAGUAAACCGCUUUCGCCUGUGACGAAGCGUGAGUGACGGUAAUGGGUAAAGAAGCACCGGCUAACUACGUG
rnacentral:rRNA from 1 species